AACGAACGCUGGCGGCGUGCCUAACACAUGCAAGUCGAGCGCGAAAGUCUUCGGAUGAGUAGAGCGGCGCACGGGUGAGUAACGCGUGGAUAAUCUGCCCUCAGGACUGGAAUAACCAAGGGAAACUUUGGCUAAUACCGGAUAAUACCACAUGACGAGAGUUAUGUGGGAAAAGCAGGGGAUCUCUUCGGAGGCCUUGCACCAGAGGAUGAGUCCGCGUCCCAUCAGCUAGUUGGCGGGGUAAUGGCCCACCAAGGCUAAGACGGGUAGCUGGUCUGAGAGGAUGAUCAGCCACACUGGGACUGAGACACGGCCCAGACUCCUACGGGAGGCAGCAGUGGGGAAUUUUGGACAAUGGGGGCAACCCUGAUCCAGCCAUUCCGCGUGAGUGAAGAAGGCCUUCGGGUUGUAAAGCUCUUUCGGCAGGAACGAAACGGUAGUUACUAAUACUAGCUGCUAAUGACGGUACCUGAAGAAGAAGCACCGGCUAACUACGUGCCAGCCGCCGCAGUAAAAC
rnacentral:rRNA from 1 species